CUCGGCGCACGCCGGGCGCGGAGGACAGCCACCUGCUCCCCGCGCGGCGCGGAGCCGGGAACGUCCGACGCCGCCGAGCCAGCGCUGCCACGCGGCUGCCCGCGCCGCCCGCCUGUUGCUGCGUGGCCGAGGCGGCAGGCGCUCGCAGCGGACCGACGCGCUCAACCUGGGAGAUGGCAAACCUUUCCUACAGAAGCCGCCCAUCUGACCAACAAAACCACAGGACAAAAAGUUCUAUUCAAGGAGGGAACAAUAAGAAGGCAAAAAAGGUCAACAUUCCUAGGUUGGAAACCACAUCUGCCUUGUUGGCCGAGGUAUGCCCAGCGCUGGCCAGAGGACGCAUGCUUUGUGAAUCUCUGUGGAGUACAGGAGGGACUGUGGAGGGCAAGGAACUUAUUCAGGGUAGAUUUUCACUCCCCCUGAAGAAACGAAAUGAAAGCAAACUUUGGUGGUUUUUGUUUAAC
rnacentral:lncRNA from 1 species